AACGAACGCUGGCGGCGUGGAUAAGACAUGCAAGUCGAACGGGACAGACCGAGUAGCAACAUUUGGAAUGUUCAGUGGCGAACGGGUGCGUAACACGUGGAUAACAUUCCGGAAAGCGGGGAAUAGCCCAGGGAAACUUGGAUUAAUACCGCAUGUGGCCGCAAGGCUAAAGACGGGGACCGCAAGGCCUGUCACUUUCCGAUUGGUCCGCGGCCUAUCAGCUAGUUGGCGGGGUAAUGGCCCACCAAGGCUACGACGGGUAGCUGGGCUUAGAGGACGACCAGCCACACUGGAACUGAGACACGGUCCAGACACCUACGGGUGGCAGCAGUCGAGAAUCUUUCACAAUGGGGGCAACCCUGAUGGAGCGACGCCGCGUGGAGGAUAAGGUCUUCGGAUUGUAAACUCCUGUCAUGCGAGAACAAGGUACUCAGGCUAAUAACCUGAUUGUUUGAUGGUACCGCAAGAGGAAGAGACGGCUAACUCUGUGCCAGCCGCCGCCGUAAAAC
rnacentral:rRNA from 1 species